rnacentral:rRNA from 1 species
CACGUAGGGGGCAAGCGUUGUCCGGAUUCAUUGGGCGUAAAGAGCUCGUAGGCGGUUCGAUAAGUCGGGUGUGAAACCUCCAGGCUCAACCUGGAGACGCCACCCGAUACUGUCGUGACUAGAGUCCAGUAGGGGAGCGUGGAAUUCCUGGUGUAGCGGUGAAAUGCGCAGAUAUCAGGAAGAACACCAAUGGCGAAGGCAGCUCUCUGGGACGGUACUGACGCUGAGACGCGAAAGCGUGGGGAGCGAACAGG